rnacentral:rRNA from 1 species
GACGUAGGGGGCAAGCGUUGUUCGGAAUUAUUGGGCGUAAAGCGUGCGCAGGCGGUGAUGUAAGACCGAUGUGAAAUCCCCGGGCUUAACCUGGGAACUGCAUUGGUGACUGCAUUGCUGGAGUAUGGCAGAGGGGGGUGGAAUUCCACGUGUAGCAGUGAAAUGCGUAGAGAUGUGGAGGAACACCGAUGGCGAAGGCAGCCCCCUGGGCCAAUACUGACGCUCAUGCACGAAAGCGUGGGGAGCAAACAGG